rnacentral:misc_RNA from 1 species
AAGUCGUAACAAGGUUUCCGUUUACAACUAUCCACUCCUGGUGCCCCCAAGCAACCAUCAAUCUGAAAGUGUUUGGUGAAUUGUGCAAGGGCAGCGCAGUCAAAGAUCAUCGGUGGCCUCGUGGGGCCUAGUACCUGAUGCAAGUCCACCGCACCCGUAGGUGAACCUGCGGAAGGAUCAUUAACACGUAUCCAAACGUUAAAAUAACCCUGAGAAUAUUGAAUCUCAAUUCCCCCAGGGCAGAAAAAUGGGCUUCUUCAAGUAAAUCAUUGUCUUAACAAGGUUUUGAGUUCGAGGAUGGCGCACGAGUAGCACCUGUUAACAAUUGAUAUCUUGGUUCUC